rnacentral:rRNA from 1 species
GACAAACGCUGGCGGCGUGCAUAACACAUGCAAGUCGAACGGUCUCAUUAAGGUGAGAUAGUGGCGGACGGGUGAGUAACACGUAGAUAACCUGCCCAAUAGUGGGGAAUAACUCCUCGAAAGAGGAGCUAAUACCGCAUAAGCUCUCUCUUGUGAGAGGGAGAGGAAAGCUCUUUAUUUCGCAAGAAAUAGGGGCGCUGAAGGAGGGGUCGUGCGGCGGAUUAGUCAGUAGGGUGGGGUAAAGGACUUACCUAGGCGACGAUCCGUAGCUGGUCUGAGAGGACGACCAGCCACACUGGGACGUGAGAUACGG